rnacentral:rRNA from 1 species
AACGGUCUUGUUAUUGGAAUGAGAACAAUUUAAAUAACUUAACGAGGAUCAAUUAGAGGGCAAGUCUGGUGCCAGCAGCCGCGGUAAUUCCAGCUCCAAUAGCGUAUAUUAAAAUUGUUGCAGUUAAAAAGCUCGUAGUCGGAUUUCUGGCAGAGUGACUCCGGCCGCAGCAUUGCGAGUUGGGAGCGCCCUACCAUCCUUCGGUUAACCUUUACGGAAUUCACUUUCUGUGCUGGGGCUCCGAUAUUUUACCUUGAGAAAAUUAGAGUGUUUCAGGCAGGCUAUAGCCGGAAUACAUUAGCAUGGAAUAAUGGAAAAGGACUACUACCUCUUCUGUUGGUCUGGGAGGCAGCAGUAAUGAUUAAUAGGGAUAGUUGGGGGCAUUAGUACUUAAUAGCAAGAGGUGAAAUUCUCUGAUUUGUUGAAGACUAACUUAUGCGAAAGCAUUUGCCAAGGAUGUUUUCAUUAAUCAAGAACGAAAGUUAGGGGAUCAAAGACGAUCAGAUACCGUCCUAGUCUUAACCAUAAACUAUGCCGACUCGGGAUCGGAGGCACGCAAAAUCGGUCUUCGGCACCGUAUGAGAAAUCAA